UUCCAUUCUAGAUUAAUAAUUAAUAUUAAUUUUAAAAAUCCUGUCUCUCCAACUGUACUUUUAUACCUUAUUAUCCUUCCCGUUUUACAUAACUAAAACUUAUUAUAACUGAAUUUAAAUUAAUUAAAACUCAGUAUGUUUCUCUGAGGGAAGACAAGUUGUGUAGUCAAGGAAGUUCAGAAUACUUUGAUUAACAUGUGAACUUUGUUUCAAGUCAGGAGGUGUUCUUCAGAUAUUGAUUCAGGUUAUUUUAUUAACUUACAGAUGAGACCACUGUCCAGGAGUCUGGAAUUAGUACAUUGAAACACCAGCCAGGAACCCACACAAUUUGAAGACAUCCCAGAAAAAGAAUGGACGUGGAAUCUCACAUGGAAUUCAGCAUAAGGAUGGGCUGUUAUAUGGCACAGAAUACCUGAGUCAGUGCAUGGGAAGAGAAUGUAGGCUUGGAGGUGUUCAAAAGACAUGUACAUGUGGCACUUGAGGACAUGGUUUAGUGAUGCCUUGGCAGUAUAAGGCUAUUGACUGGACUCCAUGAUCUUAAAGGUGAGAACACCAACAGCUUCCCACUUUCUGUCUGCUCAUUAACACUGGUAUCUCCAAGAGACUUACAACAGCAGAGGAUAAAAUAAUACAAAAAAAGAGAGGCACAAAUUUUAGCAUUAGUAUUGCUGGUGUAUGUUCAGGUCUUCAACUCAUUUGCUAAUUUUCAAAAGAAGUCAAACAACACUUAGUUUUCUGAGUCCUCCAUUACUGUAAUUAAUGAAGAUUAAAGUGAAACCAUUUUUACUGGAACAUAAACUAUUCUUCCAAGCAGGUAAGUUUAGCUUCCUUACGGCCCCAGAUGAUGCCAAACCAGUACCUCAGUGUUUCACUUAAUAUUAUGAAAAGGGAGAGAAUAUUUACAAUCCAUUUAAACAAUAGUCUGGGAUGAUGGUUUUUUCAUUUUUCUUUUCAUUUUUUAGAGUUAUGUAACCCAUUAUCAGAAUGAUAACUUUCUGAAACACCUUUGGUGGGGACAGAAAAUGGAAAGGAAAAAAGGGUAUUAUUUGUUGGUGGUGUUUUUUGUUGCUU